rnacentral:rRNA from 1 species
AACAGGAUUAGAUACCCUGGUAGUCCACCCCGUAAACGUUGGGAACUAGUUGUGGGGUCCAUUCCACGGAUUCCGUGACGCAGCUAACGCAUUAAGUUCCCCGCCUGGGGAGUACGGCCGCAAGGCUAAAACUCAAAGGAAUUGACGGGGACCCGCACAAGCGGCGGAGCAUGCGGAUUAAUUCGAUGCAACGCGAAGAACCUUACCAAGGCUUGACAUAUAGAGGAAACGUCUGGAAACAGUCGCCCCGCAAGGUCUCUAUACAGGUGGUGCAUGGUUGUCGUCAGCUCGUGUCGUGAGAUGUUGGGUUAAGUCCCGCAACGAGCGCAACCCUCGUUCUAUGUUGCCAGCACGUAAUGGUGGGAACUCAUGGGAUACUGCCGGGGUCAACUCGGAGGAAGGUGGGGAUGACGUCAAAUCAUCACGCCCCUUAUGUCUUGGGCUUCACGCAUGCUACAAUGGCCGGUACAAAGGGCUGCAAUACCGUAAGGUGGAGCGAAUCCCAAAAAGCCGGUCCCAGUUCGGAUUGAGGUCUGCAACUCGACCUCAUGAAGUCGGAGUCGCUAGUAAUCGCAGAUCAGCAACGCUGCGGUGAAUACGUUCCCGGGUCUUGUACACACCGCCCGUCAAGUCAUGAAAGUCGGUAACACCUGAAGCCGGUGGCCCAACCCUUGUGGAGGGAGCCGUCGAAGGUGGGAUCGGUAAUUAGGACUAAGUCGUAACAAGGUA